CUCAUGUUUAGCUCACUCGCUUAUGUCUUACCCCAAGAUGUGCUUGAAUCUUGAAGCCACAGCCCAGAAGACAAAUCAGAACCAAGGAAGCAUUGCAGACAGACAGACUGACUUCCAGUUCCUUUGUGCUCAGUAGCAUGGGUACGUUAGGAGCUUGUUUCAAGAAAAGAAGACCUAUGAAGUCAGAGAGCUGGGAUGGGAUUCAUCCAGCUGGAGCCAUCACCUGGGCUCCCCCUUCAUCACAAAAAACAGAACAGCAUCUCCUGAAGCAGCCUGCUGUAACCAAAGUGCAUCUCAGAAAGGUGAUGUGAUGACCUUCAGGUGGGGUUAUUGCGCUGUGCGGAUCACGUCCUAACGGAGAGGCUGGGCUGCGCAGCCCCCACCCCACCCCCGCAGCCGCCGAGAUCACCUCCUCUCACAUUCUUGAUCAGCUUCCCUGUGGCAACAGCAGCAGCGGAUCACAUGGAAAAGUAAUAUUAGGAAAGUAUUUAAUGUAUUUAUAGCUGUCUUUUAAUGACAUUUACCAGCUGGAAAGGAGGAGGCCUGCCAGCACCGAGUGAUCAAUCAGCUUUGAGGAACUCCAGCAAGUGCUCUCAAGACCACCAGCAAGCCUUCCUCCAGCCCUGGCUCCAUCUUCUCCCCUUCAGCUGCAGAUCUUUGGGGCAAAUCAGGCUGACAGAGUGUUUGCCUGGCCCUUAUCACAGCGGGACCUUGAAUUUAGCCCCGGGCUGAGGCUGCUACAGCAUACAAAUAAAUAGUGCUAAUUCUUAGAUCACGGUUUAGAAAUUUCUGUUCUGCGCUAGCCCGGCAAUCUGUGAGCAUGGGAUUCAUUAUGAACAGCCCAUAUAAUAAAUUCAGUGUGCCAAUCUGUUUUUCCAGAGGACAAGAAGAGAGACUACUGAAGCCUGAGCUUGGCCACUGUUUGCAGCAGACCACCAGAUUUCUCCUUACAACCCAACGCCAUCAGACGGCUCUGGCUGUUGCGGGAGGAGUUACCUGCACUUGGAAAAUUGCAAAGAUCAACCCAUAUGGAAAAGAUCAUGAUUGAAAGGUCCAAGUAAAGCAAUUUUCUGCUUCCCAAAAGAUGUGGAUAUAAAUAGAACAGUGCCUGAAAAUGAGCAGGCAGAAAUGAAAUACAAAUGCAGAGAGCAAGUCUUCUAAAGCAAAUAAAGAUUUUACUGUAUUUGUCCUCAAACAGGGUGUGCCAGACCCAUCAGGCAAUGCAAAUUUGCCCAAGAAGGCAAACAGCACCCUGGCUUGUGUCAGAAACUGUGGCCAGCAGGGCCAGGGCAGUGACCAUCCCCCUGUGCUCUGCACUGGUGAGGCUGCACCUCGAACACUGUGUUGGGGUUUGGGCUCUUUGUUUCAAAAGGGACAUAGAGGUGCUGGAGCAUGUCCAGAGAAGGGCAGUGGAGCUGGGGAAGGGUCUGGAGAACAAAUCUUAUCAGCAGAGGCUGAGGGAACUGGGGUUCUUCAGUCUGGAGAGGAAAAGUCAGGGGGGACCUUAUUGCUCUCUACAGCUGUCUGAGAGGAGGCUGUAGGCAUGUCGGGAUUGGUCUCUUCUCCUAAGUAACAAGCAACAGAACAAGAGGGAAUAGUCUCAAGUUAUGCCAGGGGAGGUUUAGAUUGGAUAUUAGGAAAAAUUUCUUCCCUGAAAGGGUGGUGAAGCAUUGAAACAGGCUGUCCAGGGAGGUGGUGGAACCACCAUUCCUGGAGGUGCUUAAAGAACAGGUAGAUGCGGUGCUUAGGGACCUGGUUUAGUGAUGGACUUGGCAGUCCAGGGUUAACAGUUGGACUUGAUGAUCUUAAAUGUCUUUCCAACCUAAAUGAUUCUAUGAUUCUUUCUCUACCCUGCUGCCCCAGCUCCCAUGACACGUAUGAGAGGCUGGACACCAUCACUUUGCGCAGUAAUGUUGAGCCAUUAUUGUGCCUAAGUUCAGGCUGACCUAAAGUCGUAACUAAGAAGUGCAUGUUCCCGUGACCCCAUUAUCCCCAGGAAGCCCUGCCCCACCACUGCAAUCCUGAGCAUCCAUGUACACUCCUGAAGAGAGUCCCUCAGGACACACUCCGAAGUUGCUCUCUGAGCAUCAUGCCAACCUUUUGUUUUAACAUCAAGGGGUCUUCAGCCAUCUUAUCUGUUACUCUAAUUGCUCUGACAAGCUGUGGAAAUACACGUCAUUUAAUGAGUAAACCUAUAAAAUAAUCAUUUGCUGUCUGUGCACUUGAUGCUCAGAAUCUGCUGAAAUUUCAUGUAGGAAAAAGCUCCACUGGGCUUGAAGGAAUGAUUUUUUCAUUUCUCCCUUUUUCUCUGAAAAGGAAUUUUACAGCUACUGUAGGAGUUCAUGUCUCUCAAGACUUCAAGUGACCAUCGCUAUUUUCUAUCCCCCUCCCCACCUGUACAAAUUGUAUCUAAAACAUUUUGCAUCUUGUUUGUAAUUGUUAUAUUUGAAGUUUUUAGUUUAAUUUCUUUCUUUUGAUAGCUGAAAUUCACGUAUGGAAUAAAGGGUUACAAAUGCUCACCAUUUACAAGACAUGUAAUGACAGCGAGGAGGCAGGAGAUUGCUUCAUCAGCUCUCUGCACUAAUAUUAUUUAAGUAAUAGAGCUUAAAAACCCCAUCCUCUUAUAACUGCAUAACCUUGAAUGGACACAACAGGAGGCCUACAGAAAUCUGUAAUGCUGAAAGCUGUUGGAUGAAACA